rnacentral:siRNA from 1 species
GACAACAAUCGUACCAAAAGCA